CAGAUUCUUAACAUACUGUACUUAGUGGGACAUAACCGACCGCAUUCUCUUCUGAUCACUGUGCACAGCACCAUAGAAAUACCAGCAAACAAACAAACUUUUGAAUGGAAUUCUUAAAGGGUUGGUUCACCCAAAAGAUGCCAUCGGUUUCAAAUUACAGCAUCUCUGGAUAAUCCCCAGACUUCACUCUGGACUUUUCUUGUUGGAAAUGAUUUCUACUAAAUAAACAGUG